CCUACGGGAGGUAGCAGUGGGGAAUAUUGGACAAUGGGCGAAAGCCUGAUCCAGCCAUGCCGCGUGUGUGAAGAAGGCCUUCGGGUUGUAAAGCACUUUCAGUGGGGAAGAAAGCCUUGGGGCUAAUACCCUCGAGGAAGGACAUCACCCACAGAAGAAGCACCGGCUAACUCCGUGCCAGCAGCCGCGGUAAUACGGAGGGUGCGAGCGUUAAUCGGAAUUACUGGGCGUAAAGCGCGCGUAGGCGGUCUGAUAAGCCGGUUGUGAAAGCCCCGGGCUCAACCUGGGAACGGCAUCCGGAACUGUCAGGCUAGAGUGCAGGAGAGGAAGGUAGAAUUCCCGGUGUAGCGGUGAAAUGCGUAGAGAUCGGGAGGAAUACCAGUGGCGAAGGCGGCCUUCUGGACUGACACUGACGCUGAGGUGCGAAAGCGUGGGUAGCAAACAGGAUUAGAUACCCCGGUAGUC
rnacentral:rRNA from 1 species